AUAAUUGUUUUUGUUGCCGUGAGCCAGGCAACAGCUGUGAGGGAGAGCGUGUGUCCUCCUCCCCCCCGUGCAGGACCACCACCCUGACUCUGUCUCCUGACAGCCGA